CACGUUUAAGUGUUUGCUUAAAGAUUAGCGCACACACCCAAUCCUUUAAACACUUUCCCGCAGAUUUUCUCUCUCUUUCACCUUCCAUUCCCUCGCGCAUCUAACCAACUCGUUUUCUCAGCAAAUUUAGUACUAAAACAUUUCUAAAUUUCUCAAUAUAUACAAAUUGCAUCGUUUCUCUGAGGUAAUUUUGCUAAUAGAAGGCGGAGAGGUUUAUUUUCUCGGAUUUGAAGUAGUGAAUUUUUAUGGCGGCAAGUGCGAAUCCGGCGGCGGGUAAUAAUGGCGGUCAAGAAGGUACGAAUAAUGCGAACGGCACAACGAAUAACGGUGUUUCGGUUCCUGAUAACUCUGUGAUUGGACCGAAUCAGGGGGAGCUAAUUCACAGUAGAGGCCUUGCCGUUGAAUGGACUCCCGACGAACAAUCUCUCCUUGAAGAAUUGCUCGCCAAAUACGCAACUGACAAACCAAUACAUCGUUAUGCUAAAAUUGCUAUGCAGUUAAAGGACAAGUGUGUACGAGAUAUAGCGUUGAGAUGUAGAUGGAUGAGUCAGAAAAAGGAAAACGGGAAGAGAAGAAAAGACGAUCAAGUUUCGAGGAAAAAUAAAGACAAAAAGGAAAAAAUUACGGAUUCUAUGCCAAAAUCUACUCAUGUUGCGAAUCGCACAAAUGGUCCUCCCUAUGCUCAAGCUGUUAUGUCAAUGGACAGUGAUGAUGGAAUUUCCUACCAAGCCAUUGGUGGUCCUGCUGGACAGCUGCUUGAGCAAAAUGCACAGGCCUUGGAUCAAAUUUCUGCUAACUUUGCUAUUUUUAAGAUCCAGGAAAACAUCAACCUUUUCUGCCAAGCUCGAAACAAUAUCCUCUCCAUCUUAAAUGACUUGAAUGACGCGCCAGAGAUAAUGAGGCAGAUGCCUCCACUCCCUGUAAAGCUAAAUGAUGAGCUCGCCAACUCAAUGCUUCAGCGACCACCGUUGCCAAAAUAGGUCAUGGGGUCCUGGUUUUCUUCCUCUCGGGCUUUCUGGGAGAUGUUUCUCAUGAAUUUCCUGAAGUGAUAAUUAAUUCGCAGUUGGGCAUAAGUUCCCUUUGCUUGUUUGUUUCUUCGAGCUGCUUGUUAUCUGUGCUUGUGAUUAAAUGGAGAACACAAAUAUGGGUGGUUCCAAAUUUUGGAAUAUUUAUGGCUCAAUAUUCAAUCAAGAAUGCAAAUUUUGCCCCUCCAAAAGGUACAAGCACUAAAAGAAGUUCAGUACAUCAAACUUUUUCUAUGCUUAAUGCCUAUUUGUCUUCUCAGAUUUUGAUUGAUGUCUAGCUGGGGGCGGAUAAAAUGUUGUAUUAGUGGAAUCAACUGA